AUACGGAGGGUGCAAGCGUUGUUCGGAAUUACUGGGCGUAAAGCGCGUGUAGGCGGCCCGGUAGGUCGGGUGUGAAAGCCCUCGGCUCAACCGAGGAAGUGCACUCGAUACCGCCGGGCUAGAGUACGGGAGAGGGAAGCGGAAUUCCCAGUGUAGAGGUGAAAUUCGUAGAUAUUGGGAGGAACACCGGUGGCGAAAGCGGCUUCCUGGACCGAUACUGACGCUGAGACGCGAAAGCGUGGGGAGCAAACAGGAUUAGAUACCCUAGUAGUCC
rnacentral:rRNA from 1 species